UGCGGCUCCCGGCCCCGCCCCUCCGCCAUGGCCCGGGCUCCCGCCUCCGCCCCGGCGCCCCCCCCGUGGCCGGACUCCCGGCGUGCCCCGCGCGGGGGGGGCCCCUCCCAGCCCCCCCCGCGCCCCGGGACCCCCCCCCGGACCCCCGGGACCCCCCCCCCCGGCCCCCCAUGACCCCUCGGCCGGCGGGACCCCCCUCCCUCCCGCCUCGACCCCGUCCCCCCCCCUCCCGGAGGUCCCCGCGCCCCCGCCGGGGGUCCCCGAGCCCCCCGCCGCCCCCCCGGGGGACCCCGACAGCCCCGCGGCCCCCGGUGUGGGCGGGGGGUCCCGGCGGGUCCUUUUCGCCGACGCUCUGGGGCUGCCCCUGACCCGCCUGCGGCAAUACCGGCCCUGGGACCCUCGGGGGCGGGGGGGGCCGCCGGGGGGGGGCGGGGAGGGACCCCCCGUAGGGGGGGAGGGGGGCGCGGUGGGAGAGCCGCCCCCCCCCGGGAUCUGGAUGAGACCUGGGAAGGGCAGGCCGCAGGAGGCGGAGGACGUGCAGCCCCCACCCCCCGACCACAGCACAGAGCCUGACCCUGCCCCAACGCCCCCCCCGGAUGUGGAGCAGCCCCCGGCACAGGGCGCUGAGGACGAGGCGGUGGCGCGGGAGCUGGAGCAGCUCUACCUGUCCCACCUGCGCCGGCUGCGGGGGGACCCCGGCGACAGCGACCCCCCCCCGAGAAACGGGGGCCCCCCCUUCCCCGAGCGAGCCCCCAACACCUCUCUGGCCAACGAGAUGGCCCUGCGCUACGAGGGUGGGGGGCGGUGCAGCCCCCCGGUGCUGCUGGGGAGGGGGGGGCCGGUGGAGGGGGCGCUGGUGGUGCCGGCGCGGCCCCCCCGGGGGCGGGGGACCAGUUUGGGGGGGGCCCUCAGGGGGUGCGGGGUGGUCUUGGCUUUGGCCGUGCUGGUGCCGGUGGCCUGGGGGGACGGGGGGGGCCCCACGGCCGCGCUGGCCCUAGGGCUCUACCUGGCACUGGCCUGGCUCACGUGAGGGGGGGGGAAGCCCCAUUGUCACCACCCAAAAUCGUCACCUCCCAAAUCGUCACAGCCCCCCCCCCCAUUUCACCCUUGAAAACGUGGGACACCCCUAAAUCACUCGGGGGAGGGGGGGGGGGGCUGAGUUGUGGCGUGGGGUGAUCGAAGGGCACCUCCAAAUUGCCCCCCCUCCUCGGGGUGGGGGCACUGUCACUUUGUGGGACCCCCCCCCCGACUCAUGUGCACCCCCCCACCCCCGGGUUUUGGGGCGCCCCUGUGUACAUACAGCCAUGGAACGACGGUGUCCCCGAGUUCUUGUCAUGGGGGGCACUCUGGGGGGAAGGGGGGGGUAGGGGAGGGUUGUCUGUCUCUGUUUAGGGGGUGGGGGCCCGUUCCCCCCCCUCCCCCCCCACGGCGUCGCUGUCGCAGCCGUUUCCUGCCCCCGGGGAAGGUCCCAGCAAAGGUCACGGGGCCCGUGGAUGACAAACAGUCCCCCCCAGACACCCCGGAGAUGGGGCACGCUCACCUUCGGGUGUCAUGUCGUGGGCUCCUUGUUGUGACACAAGGGUCUGCGACCCCCGGGGAGCAGCCGGGGGGUCCUGAAUGUCCUGGGAGCAGCUGGGGAGGGGCGGUCCUGAGCCCCCUAAGAAGAAGUGGGGAGUGGUCCUAAGGCUCCUUGGAGGCAGCUGAGGGGUCCCGAGUGUCCUGGGAGCAGCUGGAGGGGUCCUGAGCAUCCUGGAGGUGGCCAGGAGGGGGUCCCCAGCCCCCAGUGAAGCUGCUGAGGGGUUUGUCAGUCCUCAGGGAGGGUCCUCCGUGUCCUGGAUUCAGGCAAAAGGGGGUCCUGGCCCCUCGGGUGACAUUGGGGUGGUCCCAGCUCCUCAGGACUCACUGUGGGGAGGGUCCUGGCCCCUCGGGUGACAUUGGGGUGGUCCCAGCUCCUCAGGACUCACUGUGGGGAGGGUCCUGGCCCCUCGGGUGACAUUGGGGUGGUCCCAGCUCCUCAGGACUCACUAUGGGGAGUGUCGCAGUCCCCUGGAUUUACUGUGUGGAGUUCCAGUCCCUCAGGUGACAGCGGGGGUGUCCCAGACCCUCUGGACUCACUGUGGGGGGGCUCCAGUCCUCCCGGGGGGGGGGGGUCCUGCUCCCCCUGCAGUCUCUGAGCCCUUUGGGUGACAGUGUGGGUGGUGGUCCUGUCCCCUCUUGCCUGCCCCUGCAGUCCCUCAGCCCCUCAGGUGACAGAGAGGGGGGCGGCCCUUCUGAAGUCACUAUGAGGGGUCCCAGUCCCUCUGGACUCACUGGUGGGGGAGGUCCCGUCCCCUAUGGGGUCCUCCUGCCCUCGCAGUCCCUCAGCUCCUCAACUGACAGCAGCAGGGUGUGUCCCAGCCCCUCGGGACUCACUGUGGGGGUAUCCUGUCAUCUCCGGAUGGUCCGCUCUCCCUGUAGUCCCUCAGUCCUUUAGGUGACAUCGUGUGGGAGUCACAGUGGGGGGUGUUCCACCUCCACCUCCCCCCACGGUUCCUCAGACCCUCAGGUGACAGCGGGGGAAAGGAGGGGGGCAGCCAGCCCUUCUGAAGUCACUGUGGGAGGGUCCCAGUCCCUCAGGUGAUAGUGGGGGGUCCCAGCCCCUCUAGACUCACUGGGAGGGGGAAAUCCUGUCCCCUUCAGAGCGGUCCUGCAGUCCCUCAGCCCCUCAGGUAAAAGUGGAGGGGGGGAGCCCUUCUGAAGUCACUGUGGGGGGGUCCCAGUCCCUCAGGUGACAGUGUGGGGGGGAUGCCAUCCCCUCCUGGGGGUCCCGCUCCCCCCGCGGUCCCCCAGCCCCUCAUGACGGGAGUGGGGCGUGGCCUCUCCCCUCACGGCGGGGCUCUCGCGCCGCCCGCACGUGCGCUCCUCACGCUGCGCAUGCGCGCGGCUCUCCCGCCCCACCCACCGGGCUCCCUAAGCCCGCCAAAGCAGCGCGCGCCCAUUGGCUGCCCCUUUCCCGCCCGCCCCGCGUGACGGGCGUCGCCACGGCAACGGGCCAAUGGGCAGCGCGCGAGUGACGAGCGGGUGGGCGGGGCUCCGGCGGCGGCGGCGGCAGCGCGCGCGCUUUUUCGGCCGCUGCUUCGGCCCUGG
rnacentral:lncRNA from 1 species